AGUUCGUUCAUUUCCGCUUUCUGGAUUGUGUAUGCUGCCAAAAGCCCUUUUACCUUUACUUUGCCGCAUUCCCUACAACGCGGUCUGGCUAAAGGAGGUCGAAAUACGUAGCUUGAAUAAAGUGUAUUUGUCUAUUCAGGAAAAGAAUAUUCUCUGUUCAACCGAUUCUUCAGCAAAUAGCAUACCGCCAAACUGUGGAUCACGAUGUUAGAAAAUCAUUUGAUAAGCUGCGGAGUUGGGUGUAAUCGACACACUAACCUGCAUAAGGAAACAAGUCAAAUAUGCGACGAAAAAUCGGCGGAACAUAAGCACAGAAGCGGCAGCUGAACAAAUGGUAAAGCUGAAAAUGCAUUUGUACGGAUACUCUGGCUAGAUGGAGAAGCAACAUGAUUAGACUGCAAAACUGUUCCCCACCUGUCGUCCAUCUUCAAUCAGUUCAGCAACAUCAACCGCAGAUGAGAUAAUGUUUUAUUUUUCCUUUCAGUUAGCUGACAGUGCUUCUGCACGGAUUCUCUUGCUAGAUGGAGCUAUUAAUCAUCAAUCAGUUCAGCCUCAAAAUCAACCACAGUGGAGCUAAUGCUGACAGUGCUUCUGCACGGAUACUCUGGCUAGAUGGAGAAGCAAGCUGAUUAAACAGCAAAACUGGUCCUCAAUCAAUUGUGAAAGAGCUGCAAAUGAGGACAUUGAGAGCAACAUAAACGACUUCUGGUGCUAUUCGUUGGGUAACUGAAUAAAGUAAAGAUGUAAACAAUAAUCUAACGCUUGAGGUGUUUUAAAUAAAUAAAAUAGAAGAGAGAUAUAAUGAUUUUGUUUUAUUGAAUUUUGUUUAAUCGAAGUAAGAAGUCUGUAAAACCUUGGAAGCAAAUAAUACUUGUGAAUAUCGUUGAAUUUUUACUGAAAGAAAUUUUUUAUUGUUUAGAAGAUAGGGUAAGGCGCAAUUUCCUAAAGGUGUGUUAGCAUAGAAGAUAGCGUUCCAAUGCAGUCCUUCCUAUUUAGUUCUUCGGGAGCUUUAAGGACAUAAUUUAAAACAUCAUCGUCUAUAAGUCUUUCCAAUAUCCAGUUCACUGGCACUCACGGCCGAAACCGUCGCAGCUUUGUUCUCUUUCUUUCUGUAGGGUUUCGCUAACGAAAGUGAGCGGAUAGAUUGGAACUCGAAGCGGAACAACCCGGUAAAACCUAGCCUAACAAAC